UGAUUUACGUAAUCCAAGGACAAAAUGAGGAGUUCCAGUGCAUUGCUUUUAGUCGUGGGUUUGGCGCUGUCAGUUUAUGAAUUUGAAGCAUUCUGCUAUGGUGAAUUUAAGGAUCCCUCUGGUACCAAUGAGACAUGUGUAACAGAUGUUGGUAAUCUGAGUGUUGGAGAAUCUAUUAAUUCCUACACUCAGUGUUUAAGAUAUAGUUGUGGAGUGGAAUAUAUUGGAAUAUGUGGCAUUGGUUAUAACGCGGGCCUAAUGUAUAUUGCUGGAUGUAACCAGUUGAAGAUGGAUAACUGUUGUUAUCGGUUUGUGAAUGCGUCCAACCCUGCUAUCAACUGCACAGACGUGUACUGUCCUUGAAAACUAACAUCUUUGUGAAUAAAUAAUAAUUAUUUUGAAAUAUCCUUAUUUGAUUUUAAGCUUCUUUAAAAUACAAUAUAUUUAAGGACGCCUAAAUUCAAAUGAAAAUGAAAAUGCCUAGAUAAUAUUAUCUUUGGUCUGGUUCAAAAAUAAAAGUGUUGAAUUCAUUCGA